GCCGUCAGCGCCGAGGAACCGCAAGGGGCGUUGACUGGAGGCCCUGGGGGUCCUCGCGGUGCGGAAUUGAAGCAGCACAGAGGGCAGGAGGCCUGGAGUUCAGCAGGCACGGCUGGACUUCAAGCCUGUGAAGCGUGUGAGCAGCCCUGGAGAAGGAGCCAGCUCAGACCUCAGGCAGUGCUGGCAAGUCCCUGCUUCAGAUGUCCGUCGUGGGCCUGGACGCUGUGCCCACAGCAGGCGGCUGGGGUGUCGAGCCUCCCGUCAGCUGCUGUUCAGGACUCCCACAGGGCGUGCUGCAGAGUGCAUCUCUCGCAUGGUGUCCUUGCAAAGCUGAGCUGCUUCUUGCUGUGAGCUGCCUCUUUUCCUCGUGCAGGUUGGUGGCCCUCGACUCCACUCUGAUUCUGACAACUUUCACGGAACUCCGGGAACUGCCUCUCCCUAGGCCUGGCCCUGCUCACACGUGGUCUGUGGCUGAGAUAGCACUCAGCCACAGGUGGUUUCUGAGGCUGGUGACCUUUGAGGAUGUGGCUGCGGACUGCACACUGGAGGACCCUGUACUUGAGCGGAAUGAGACGUGGAGGUUCUGCAUCACCUCGUCUUCCUGUCUCCUUUGGGACCCCACAGCUGCUGUGUGGGACAGCUCAGGAGGAUAUUUCAGCACCGCGGACAGCUCCCCACACCGCUUCCGGGGAUGGUGCCCGGCUACUGCUGACUGACAUCGCUGCAGCUUCCCAGUUCUGCCUGUUCCUGAGCUUCCUCAGAGUGAAUUGUGUGCCCUGUAAUAGUCCGACGCCUAAGCUCCACACUGUCAGCCUUCAGGAUGUUUCUGUAGGGACAGUGUCUGACACCGGGUUGGUAAAACCAGUUAUUCUGAAUUCAGUUCCUGACUCCUAGGAGGGAAGGGGUGAUGUGGCUAUGAGCCCUUUGCCUCUUCCUAUGGGGGCCAGGGUCGGGGGGAAGACUCCUGGGGGCUGAUUCUCCCAACCCCACCUCUGUCCCAUCUUGCUCCUGGGCUGGGGACAGGAAGUGUGGUGGAUGUCAGGUCUAGGCCCAAACCUGCCUUUAUCACUCCCAGCUGGGAUCCUGGCUGGCCCAUCUGCCUUGGGGAGUCUCAGUUUGUAUUUCUAAAAUGCGUCUUUAUGGAGGGCUGUUUGUUCAUUCAUUAACGAAUGCUCCUUGGGCUGGCACCGCAUCAGGAAACUCACAGCCUAUGAUGAGUGAGAACCUGUAUCUUCCAUUGUGCUAAGCACAUAAAAUGGGUGCAGGCAGCACCUAUCUGGGCACCAGUGGCUGGGGAGGGCCUCUGAGAUGACAGCUGAGCUUCUGAGUGGCCAGCAGCAGACAUGAGGGUAGAAAGAGAGCUGUAGGUGAGUCCGAGAAAUGCAGAAAUCAGGUCUCAAAAGGCCUGGACGUCUGGGAAGGAAUUUGGAUGGUUCUGGGCCAGGGAUGUAACUUAGUGGUGCAGUCAGUGCCUUCAUGGCAAACUUGAGGCCCUGAGUUUGAUUCCUGGUACCAAAAAAAAAAAGGAUGGUUUUUCAAAUUAGGAAU
ensembl:lncRNA